rnacentral:misc_RNA from 1 species
CAAAUCUUUUGCGAGCCUGCGUGCCUUACGGUGCGCAGUUACUCACAACAUUAGCACAAGGCUGCAAGGUCUUGAUGUUUACGCUUGUUUGUUUGACAGAGUUAGUUGAGAAAUAAAUAAAGA